UGGACUUGGAUAUGGGUGGGUAAAAACCCAACCUACACUCAAAAAACCAAUCAGAGAAUAGGGGCCUAAUUCAAUUGAAUGGGUUUUCCACCCAUCAACUAAUACACUAACUUAAUCCUUCUUCUAUUAAUGCCACAUGUAACACAAGAUGGAGGAAGCACAUAUGUUCUACCCUUCUUCUCGAAUGAGCAUUUUUCUAUGCUGCAUCUCGUCACCUUCCUCCAUUGGCAAUGCGCUAUCGAGUCUCUUCCUCUCUCAAGUUAUUGCCUUCUUUUCUUCACACCUCCGGUUCAUGGCCGCUGUAAUUUCAUGAAACCUCCACAGUUUGCAAGAUGCUUUGACUCACUUUACACGGUCUGCAUCUCUGCCGGAGUCAGGGAUCCCUCCUCAAUGACAAUUCUUCUAACUGCAUCUGGAGGACACACGCACCACCUAUGAUUGAGACUGUUCAAGCUUGCCAAAUUUGCUAUCGUGUGAGCCAAUUGAUUGCCUUCUCUUAGUACCCAGGUAAAUCUGCAAUUAACGUUCCCCUAUUGAAGCUCCCAGAUAUCUUUAAGUAUUGGCAAAAUUUUUUCAAUUUAUGUUCUUGACUUUAUUGCUUGAAUAAUUAAUUGGUUGUAUGACUCAAUCAAAACCUUCUUCAA